GGGGAGAGUAUCUCUCUGAAGCUUCCUGUGUACCUGAUGCCUUUGGAAGAAAGACAACUGCAAACAGUCUAUGUGAUUGCAAGAUUCAUGACUGAUGGCUGCCCUGGGUAACUGUGUGUCAUGCAGCACAGAAUCUGGCUGCUGGAGGAUGUGUUGCUGAAGAUGCUGGUAUUGAAGGUGAAGUCUUCCAUCAGAGGAGGAAAAACUCCACAGUGUUGUGCACUGCCACCAAAAUGCUGAUUACACUCUCUGUGAAAAUCAUGUAUUUUUAAAGCUAACAGAUACAGAAAAGAUGCAAGCAACUCUUGGUGUUGGCUAGCCCUUAACACCAGCUCCGGGAACACAAGCUCUUGGCAUGCAGUUAGCUGCUGAGUGUCUCCUGCCUUUGUCUUGCACCUGCAUCAGGGGACUGAUGGAAGCGGGACAAGGGACUCAGCACCUGGCUGUGAUGUGACUGAAAGCAGAACUACCAGCUGACUCUGCUACCUCGCUUCCCAAGUCCUCUCCAGGAUGCUUCUGAGUGUGCCGAGCAUGCAUAACUCUAGUCUGUCCUCACUGCAGCUCUGGUACCCUUUUCUCCUCCAUGUUGCUGGGGGAAAAACCCAACAAAACAGUGCCUCAGCUGCUCACCGUGCUGUGAUGAUUAGCAUUUUCACUGGCUUCCCAUGAGUUUCUCUAUGUGAGAGCAUCUGUACCCAUCCAUCACCUUCUGUAUGGGAAGGAGGAGGGCUGCUCAGGAACUGGCCUGAAGCACUGCCACCCUGAUUUAUGGAUUGGAGGGGUUAUCAGUCACCCUGGACAGGGAGGCUGUGACUCAGAGCUCAAAUCUAAUGCUGUGAGGGAGGAGGGCAGGUCAUCUACAGAACCUAGGGACCUGUUCCUCUCUGCCUUUUGUUGAAGUGUGUUUCCAGGUGAGUAGAAGAGCUGCUCUGCAGAAAGCAAGCCUAGAUGUGUGCUGGGAAAAGAUGCCUCUCUCCCCAUCAAGAGGGAAUAGAGUAGGUGUACCCUUCAAAGGAGACAUUUAGUCUGUAAGAAAUAUUCCCACACUAAUGAUUUCACCUUCCUGCCCCAACCGUAACCGUAAUUAAGUCGACCCAAACGAAGCAGGGUUCAUAUCUUUGAACUGUCUAGAGGCUUUGCUGAGUUCUCCACAGUCUUCAAAGACCCACAGAGCAGUUACUGACAACUGAAUCUGAUGAGGCACCGGGUGAGUCCUGAUGACACCCAUGCCAUGACUGCUGCAGGUUGCUCUUGUCUUUGGGUCACAGUUGUUAUUUUGUCCAUGACUUUUGAUGUGUUUCUGGUCUCUUCACCUCUUUGUAUCAUGGUUUCUCACCUCUAAAGAAUGGUGAUGCUUCACAGUUUAACAGGGCAUAGAAUUACAAGUAUUAGACUGUGAGGGUUUCAGAGCAGGAAAUAUCUGUCAUAGCUUCACAACAAUUAGCCACUCCAAGCUUGUAAGUAAUGCGCAUAGUUGCUACCUAUGUAUAUAAGCUGUCAGCUUUGGUUUAUUUUGAGGAAGCUUCCAGCCACAGAGUUAUUAAUAUGGUAUGUAGAGAUUUCUUCUAGUAAAUAUCUGUAGUUUUGUUCUCUUUAGUAGAUUGUUAUGACCAAAGUUUUGUACUCAUCUGCUGCCAAGUUUAGGAGUAAAGGCUCUCAAGAGGGGUAAUUCUGUGGGGGAAGAAAAGCAGUUUCUGGCUAAGUGUUGAGAAAUACUCUGCAAUCUGCUCAGGCUACUGAGUUUCAGAACUAUCAAAUAUUUGUAUCAAAUCAAUUAUGAACAGUGUAUGGAUCCCAACUUAUUUCCCAUGUGAUUUCAGUUCCUUUGAAGCAAGAAAUAAGUUUAUAAAAGGGAUGAUCAAUCAGUGCAUCACUGGGGAAGAGCAACGAAAACUCGCUGCAUUAUGCCUUUGGAACAAAUAGCACAGACCAGCUAGAGACUUUUAUGGAAUGGGAAGCUGCUUUCAGUGAGGGGGAGCAACUCUGGAGCACCUAAUACAGUUGUAUGAGGAAGAUAGGCACUGAAAUUUAGGAAAGCUUAAUAAAGAAGAUGGUAAGGGGAGUUUGCUUGUCUGUAUUCUAUUGGCAUCUUUGAAAUAACUGGAAAACCCAUCCCCAGGCAGCAACGUAAUUCAACUCUCACUGGAAUUCGGCUCUCACCAAUAAGUCCUGAUGCUUAAGGAGAAAAGCAAAGAACAAAAAACUGCCUUAAUUUUAUUGCGAAGUCUGUAAUUUGGUCAUACCCUUCAUGCAUUACGAAUGUCCUCUCCUCUUCCUUUGGAAUGCAGAACCCCUGUGGUUAGAGGUCCCUGUCCUCUGCCUGGGCUGGAAUGGCUGUUGUGGCAGCCUAUUGUUUCAGGUCUGAAUGUACAAAUGAUUGUCCAAAGACCUCUGUGAUGAAUAUGCUGCUGGAGGCUUCUGCUGUAGUGGGGUGCUCAGAGGUCGUGUGCUUUCCUUUCCUCACCAGCCUGAAAUCACACUGACUGUGAGAAGGCAGGAGCAGUUCCCCGGGUUCUUGUAGGAAACUUUAAAUGUACUCAGCUGCCAGCUUUCUUCCAAGGGGAAGAAGGGUUUGUGUGCAGGGAAGGUGGUCAGCUUACAUCACUGUAGCACCAGUGGUGAUUCCAGGACCAAGCCAGCCCUGGUACAGAAACAAGCAGGGUGUGGUAGUUUUAAGCCUCAUAGAGCUGUACAUCCUGAGCCCUGCAAGCAGGACAUGGAGCAUGUUGGCUACAUCUGCAGGAUGGUAGCUGUGGACCACCUUGGUGAUGAAAGGAGGGCAGAGAAACACCUCACGGUGAACAUCAGGUCUGCCUAGGAUCUGAGUGCUCCUCCAGGUUACGAGUUAAUACAAUCAUAGAAUCACAGGAUACCCUGGGUUGGAAGGGACCCACAAGGAUCACUGAGCCUAAUUCCUGGCUCCACACAGCACUGCCCAAACCCGAUGUCUGAGAGCAGCAUCCCAGCGCUCCCUGAGCUCUGGCACUGGGGCUGUGCCCACUGCCCUGGGCAUCCUGUUCCUGGCCUCUCCUCUGCUCUGGGCUGAGCAACCCCAGGGGCCUACGUGCUCCUCACACACCUUGUCCUCCAGACCCUUCUCCAUCUUUGUAGCCUUUCCCACGUUCACACUGCUAUCUGCCGAAGAUGUACCUAACAAGACUCUCUUUUGGCAAACCCUUCCAUGCCUACACUUGCAGAGGAGAAAGCAAGCCAGUAGAAAUUUGACCAUGUCUUUUCUUUUCCUGCCUUUUUCCUCUACUUGUCCCCUUUAAGGCCAAGUAGAUCACUACCAUACAGAUGAUCAUUACCUGCAGCAGGUAAAUUGCAGGAAGUAGAGCUGAAGAGAACUCAGAAGGUCACUCCUUGUCCCAUUGCCUCCAAGCAGCAUUAGCUCUCUGUAAUCUGUUCCAGCUUGCUUGCUCUUAAAAGCCAGCAGUGCCAGGUAUUGAGCACAGUAACAAGGAAGUCUCAGCCUUCUCUGGGAUUGAAAGCACUCUGUAAUCUAAGCUGCAUAAAUAUUACAUUUCUUUACCUUUCUAUAAACAGAUGUACAAAGGCUUGCAGGGAUUCUGCAGGUCUUUGUGUGGGGAAAAAGCAGACUGAGAUGUCUGGAGAGCAAGCACAAAGUGAAGGUGCAGAGCUCGGGCUGCAGGUGAGGAUGCGCUGGUCCCCUGCACAGCAGCUGGUAGCUCCCUGAAAUCUAAAGAUCAGUGGAGCUUUCUCAAUUGGGAAUCCAACCUUGUCUCUUUGACAUUACUUAUUUAUAAAGGACUCUGCUAUUUAAUAUCUUAGGGCUGCCACUGAAUUGAUCAACUGGCUGGUUCAGCAAAAAAAUAGAAGUUCAUUAACCCUCCUGGUGCUCUCAGUGUGGGAGUGCCCAGCUUGCAAUCUCUGCAAUAUUUGAGUAGGCAGCCACCCCAUCACAGCUGAUUUCUCCCGAGAGCAGUAGUCUAGCACACAGAUUCUUUUUGUCUUCUUCCCUGGACAUCAGCAGGGCCCAUUGAUUUACCACCGAAUAUCACUGCAGUGGGGAUAGUUCUCAGCCUAUACCCUGUGAUAAGACUUAAAGUCGUUUUGUUCAUUGUAUGAGGUGUUAUUUGUAUAAGAACAGGCUCACGGCUAGGGAUGGGAAGAUUGGGAGCCUUCUUUGUUCAUUGUAAAGGGAAGUGCUAACGACCUGGCGGUUGGGGGUACAGGCUGCGGACAAACAUCUUGAUCUUGUGACUACACUUGCAAGAACAUGAACAUCCUGUUUCGCCACUUCACCUCCCCUCUCCUAGAUUGAACAAACCAAGGACAAGGAAGACUGUGAUGACACCUAGCAACAGGGAAGCGCAGCCCAGAAGGCGAACAAACAUACUUGAAUCCACAUCAACCCGGAACUGAGGGACUAUAAAAGCUGGGAACCGCGGACAGAGUUUGCGCCAUUUUGAGGAGCUGCGACUCCUUGGCGCCCAGCGCCGCGUUUGCUUUUGUUUUUGCUUACUCAAUUAAUAAAACAUUU